GGGGGAAGCUGGGGGGUCAGCAGGGAGGAUACUGGGGAUACUGGGGGGAUAUUGGGAGAUACCGAGCAGCAAUCACGGAGGAUGCUGAAGGGAAGCCUGAGGCGCACGUGGGGACACUGGGGGAUGAGCGAGGGAUACUGGGAGGUACUGGGAGGACUUCGGGGGCAUGGAGGGAGCUUGUGGGGCACCCCAAAACCCCCCACACCCCCUUGCGGGCGGCCCUGGGCAGCGGCACUGCCCGCACCGUGCCCAGGAACCGCAGCGGAACCGAGCCCGGGACACGCACCGGGACCCGGCCCCGCCACCCCGGAACCGGGACCCGGCCCCGCCACACCGGAGCCGGGACCCGGCCCCGCCACACCGGAGCCCGCGGAGCCGGACAGCCGUGAGGACCCCGCGGACAGCCCCGGGGCUCACAGGUACCGGGGGACGCGGGGGUCCCGGCGCGGAGCCCCCCACCCCGGGUCCCCCGUGCCCACCGCCGCCGUGCCCGCCCCGCAGCUCCCGGGAGAUGGAGGAGAGAGCUCUGCGGGAACUCAUCCGGCGGCUCCGCGCCGAGCAGGCGGCGGUGGAGGGGUCCCUGCUGGACGCCCCCGAGCCCUCGGAGCCCCCCCGGGAGCGGGACCCCCGAGGCCGGGCGGAGCGGGCGCUGCGGGAAGCGCGGGCGCUGCUGCCCGGCUGGAGGCGGCCCGAGAAGGAGGAGCUGCUGCAGGAGCUGGCCGUGCUCAAGGAGGCACUGGCGGAGCUGCGGACGCGGCUGCAGCUGGCCCAGAAGGAGAAGCGAGCCCUGGAGCUGCUCCUGGCCGGGCACGGACCCCGCCAGGCCGCGCUGCGCCUCCUGCUGCAGCACCGGCAGCGGGAACGGCGGUGGGACCGGGACCGGGACCGGGACCGGGAACGGGACGGAGAACGGGAGCGGGACGGAGCCUCUGGCAGCUCCGGCAGCAGCUCCGACAGCAGCUCCGGCAGCAGCUCCGGCAGCUCCGAGCAGGUAGGGAUGGGUGCCACGGGGCCGUUCCCGGGGUUCGGGGGAUCCCGAGGCACGGGAGACACCCCGGGAAUCUCGGCAGGACGCGCGGAUGGGUCGGGGGGCGGCGAUGGCUCCGCAGAACCCCCCGGACCCCGAGAGAACCAGGGAGGAGCUGCUCCGGAUCCGGGCCAGGUGAGGGACGGGAGCGGCGUGGGACCGGGAAUUCUGUGGGAUCAGGAAUUAUGUGGGAUUGGGAAUUAUGUGGGAUUAGGAACUGUGUGGGAUUGAGAACUGUGUGGGGAUGGGAAUGGUGCUGGGAUCGGGAAUGGUGCUGGAAUCGGGAAUGGUGCUGGGAGCGGGAAUGGUG
rnacentral:lncRNA from 1 species